rnacentral:ncRNA from 1 species
AACCGUGAUUCCGGGAGUAGUGGUGAGCGAAACCGGAGGAGGCUAAACCGUAUGUGUGUGAGACCCGGCAGGGGUUGCGCAUGCGGGGUUGUGGGAGCUUUCUUUCAUGGUCUGCCGGCUGUGAGACGAGUGAGAAACCGUUGAUGUAGGCGAAGGGCAUGCGAAAGGCCCGGCGUAGAGGGUAAGACCCCCGUAGCUGAAACGUCAGCGGCUCGUUUGAAGGUUUCCCAAGUAGCAUGGGGCCCGAGAAAUCCUGUGUGAAUCUGGCGGGACCACCCGUCAAGCCUAAAUAUUCCCUGGUGACCGAUAGCGGAUAGUAC